UGUGUGUAUGUGUGCGUGUGUGUGUGUGCGCGCGUUUGUGUGUGUGUGUGUUCGCGUGCAUGUGUGUGUGUGUAUGUGUGCGUUUGUGUAUGUGUGUAUGUGUGUGUGUGUGUGUGUGUGCGUUUGUGUAUGUGUGUGUGUGUGCGUGCGUGUGUGUGUGUGUGUGUAUAUAUGUGUAUGAGACCACAUAUAAAGCCUGACCAUCAGAGCCAGUCUGCAGUAAACUCAGGAUGACACAGACGGUGAAAACCGCAUGCAGACUGUUUGUGAGCGUCGCUCUCACGGGGUGUGUGUGUGGAUUAAAUCUGAGCGUGUGGCAAACACCUCGAAAUAUAACUGCAGAGUCGGGAGAGCGAGUGACCCUCACCUGCCACUUCACACUCAGGACAUCAGAGAGAGGACGAUGGAGACUAGAGUGGAGGAAAAAUAACGACUCAGUAUUUCUAACUGAAAGUUAUAAUAUAUCUGAUAUAAACACUAACACUGUGACUGAAGUGAAUAAAUCUCACACACUGACGCUUCAUCCAGUGAAUGUGAGUGACAGCGGGAUUUAUUACUGUAAGGUGUGGCAGGAUGUUCCACGACUCGGACCAGAAACUGAGGGUGGAGGAACAGAGCUAACAGUGUACGACACUGUGAGAACCACCACCGCCUCCUCCGCCGCCCCCUCCGCCGCCCCCUCCACCGCCUCCUCCAUCACUCACACUGAUCAGGAUGUAACGUUACUGCAGGAGAACUAA